rnacentral:rRNA from 1 species
AUGAUGGAUAGGCCAUGUACUUCUACCAACCCACUCUUCAUCGAGCAAGACGACGACAUGUCAUCAUUUGUCACCAAGAGCCACCUCUUUGGUGCACAACGAGCGUUGCAUCAAGAGCAAAAAGCUAUGACCGACCGCAUCGACAACCUCGCCACCGACUUGCGACUCUCCGAGCAACAUACCAAGGACUACUUUGACAACAAGCUCGACGCUCACAAGCAAGAGAACGAUGCAAGGAUGGACGAGAUCGGCGCCUUGUUGGUGAACCGUCCUCCUUCAACUUCUUCAUACUCAAGACGGAGCCGCUCAAGUCGACACUCCGACGACACCUUCUCCGGAUCAAGUACACCGACAUAG